GAUGAACGCUGGCGGCGUGCCUAAUACAUGCAAGUCGAACGAACGGACCAGAAUUUUGCUUCUCUGAUGUUAGGGGCACAAGGGUGAGUCACAUGUGUAUAACCCACCUUUAAGUGUGAUAUAAUUUGGCGAAACCGGAGCUAAUACCGUAUAAUAUUUUGAUGCACAUUGUUAAAAAGCAAAAUACGGGCUUGGUGUCUCUUCUCGAUGGGUCCGCGCUGCUUGUCAUAGUUGGGACGUUUACGGCUUACGACGGCAAGGAUGCAUACACGACCGGAGUGAGGGAUCGGCCACACUGGAACUGGGACACGGUCCAGACUCCUACGGGAGGCAGCAGUAGGGAAUCGUACGCAAUGGGCGAAAGCCUGACGGAGCAACGCGGCGUGAGUGGUGAAGGUCUUCGGAUCGUAAAACUCUGUUAUGGGUGAAGAACAUAUGUGUAAGUAACUGUGCACAUCUUGACGGUAACGAAUCAGAAAGCCACGGCUAACUACGUG
rnacentral:rRNA from 1 species